CUUUGUUAGCAAUAGACAUACUAAAGCUGGAACAAUACAGAGAAAAUUAACAUGGCUCCUGAGCAAUUAUGACAAACAAUUUUGUAGGCAUUCUAUACUUUC